CAAGUCGAGCGACAGAUGAGAAGCUUGCUUCUCUGAUGUUAGCGGCGGACGGGUGAGUAACACGUGGGUAACCUACCUAUAAGACUGGGAUAACUCCGGGAAACCGGGGCUAAUACCGGAUAAUAUUUUGAACCGCAUGGUUCAAUAGUGAAAGACGGUUUCGGCUGUCACUUAUAGAUGGACCCGCGCCGUAUUAGCUAGUUGGUAAGGUAACGGCUUACCAAGGCGACGAUACGUAGCCGACCUGAGAGGGUGAUCGGCCACACUGGAACUGAGACACGGUCCAGACUCCUACGGGAGGCAGCAGUAGGGAAUCUUCCGCAAUGGGCGAAAGCCUGACGGAGCAACGCCGCGUGAGUGAUGAAGGUCUUCGGAUCGUAAAACUCUGUUGUUAGGGAAGAACAAAUUUGUUAGUAACUGAACAAGUCUUGACGGUACCUAACCAGAAAGCCACGGCUAACUACGUGCCAGCAGCCGCGGUAAUACGUAGGUGGCAAGCGUUAUCCGGAAUUAUUGGGCGUAAAGCGCGCGUAGGCGGUUUCUUAAGUCUGAUGUGAAAGCCCACGGCUCAACCGUGGAGGGUCAUUGGAAACUGGGAAACUUGAGUGCAGAAGAGGAGAGUGGAAUUCCAUGUGUAGCGGUGAAAUGCGCAGAGAUAUGGAGGAACACCAGUGGCGAAGGCGGCUCUCUGGUCUGUAACUGACGCUGAUGUGCGAAAGCGUGGGGAUCAAACAGGAUUAGAUACCCUGGUAGUCCACGCCGUAAACGAUGAGUGCUAAGUGUUAGGGGGUUUCCGCCCCUUAGUGCUGCAGCUAACGCAUUAAGCACUCCGCCUGGGGAGUACGACCGCAAGGUUGAAACUCAAAGGAAUUGACGGGGACCCGCACAAGCGGUGGAGCAUGUGGUUUAAUUCGAAGCAACGCGAAGAACCUUACCAAAUCUUGACAUCCUUUGACCGCUCUAGAGAUAGAGUCUUCCCCUUCGGGGGACAAAGUGACAGGUGGUGCAUGGUUGUCGUCAGCUCGUGUCGUGAGAUGUUGGGUUAAGUCCCGCAACGAGCGCAACCCUUAAGCUUAGUUGCCAUCAUUAAGUUGGGCACUCUAGGUUGACUGCCGGUGACAAACCGGAGGAAGGUGGGGAUGACGUCAAAUCAUCAUGCCCCUUAUGAUUUGGGCUACACACGUGCUACAAUGGAUAAUACAAAGGGCAGCGAAUCCGCGAGGCCAAGCAAAUCCCAUAAAAUUAUUCUCAGUUCGGAUUGUAGUCUGCAACUCGACUACAUGAAGCUGGAAUCGCUAGUAAUCGUAGAUCAGCAUGCUACGGUGAAUACGUUCCCGGGUCUUGUACACACCGCCCGUCACACCACGAGAGUUUGUAACACCCGAAGCCGGUGGAGUAACCUUUUAGGAGCUAGCCGUCGAAGGUGGGACAAAUGAU
rnacentral:rRNA from 1 species